UACGUAGGGGGCAAGCGUUAUCCGGAAUCACUGGGUGUAAAGGGUGCGUAGGCGGUUAUGUAAGUCAGAUGUGAAAUACCGAAGCUCAACUUCGGGGCUGCAUUUGAAACUGUGUGACUAGAGUACAGGAGAGGUAAGUGGAAUUCCUAGUGUAGCGGUGAAAUGCGUAGAUAUUAGGAAGAACACCAGUGGCGAAGGCGACUUACUGGACUGAAACUGACGCUGAGGCACGAAAGCGUGGGGAGCAAACAGGAUUAGAUACCCUGGUAGUCCACGCUGUAAACGAUGAAUGCUAGGUGUUGGCGCGAGAGCGUCGGUGCCGCAGUUAACACAAUAAGCAUUCCACCUGGGGAGUACGAUCGCAAGAUUGAAACUCAAAGGAAUUGACGGGGGCCCGCACAAGCGGUGGAGUAUGUGGUUUAAUUCGAAGCAACGCGAAGAACCUUACCAAGACUUGACAUCCCUUUGAAUAAGCAUGUAAUGUGCUUAGUCCUUCGGGACAAAGGUGACAGGUGGUGCAUGGUU
rnacentral:rRNA from 1 species